AUAAAAGCCACGGAGACAACUUUCUCUCCUAUUCCCCCUGUAAACCCUAACAGAAAACUUCACCGCCGGUUUCAUCUGCUGCUUCAUUCUUCUUCUUCACGAUUACAAGAUCCCCUUUCUAAUGUUCAUCCUUCUCAUCUCAAUUAUUGGUAUCAUCACCUACCGACAUCUUCACUUUUCUUUCUCAUUCUCCCUCUCAAAAUUCUUCUGCAUAUGCUUGAUUUUAACAAUUAAUCAAACAAGAUCAAAGAAUAAUCAUCCCUGACUCGGUUUUUGGCGUUGGACGUUGGCGAUGGUGGAAAUCCUUUGUUUCAGUAUUUGGUGAUGAUGGGGAGGACAGAUUCGCCGCUGCCACCAUUUUGUUGUUCCGUGUUCGUCUUCGAAUCCUUUAGGGUUUCUGGACGACAGUUAACGAUGGCGGCUCUGGUUUCAAUUGGUAUUGGUCUGUGGCUUGGUCACUUUGUGUUUCAAUAUGUUUGGUCACUUUGUUUUCAGUAUCAUGUCUAGAUGCUCACUUUAAUCUCUAUAAUUCUAAAGAUCUAAAAAAUGUAAAAGAAUUCUAAAAAAAUAAAAAGACCUAAAAGAAUAACUGCACAAUUCCAUUAGAUCUCUGAUGUUUGCUGAUGUUUGGAUGCCGCUGAAUAGAUAGUUUAUGCAUUUACUUUUUCAACUUUCAUGUUGCAAGCUUUCAUGGCCUUUGGGAUCACAUCUGUGGUAGAUAUUGCAUUAUCAUUCUAGCGCAGUUUGAUCCGUAUGAAACAAACAAUGCUCAUGAAUCAGAAGUUGUUUGUCCACGUGAACUGGUAAGUUUAAUUUGUAUGAACUAUUUGUUGGGAGUGGUAUAUAAACUAAAUUUGUUAUUGGCCCACUAUUUGCAUUUGUUUAGGGGUAUAAGGUUACCACGAUAUCUCAUAACCUCACUUUUCACAAACCCUACAUACCAUUUCCUAAUCUGCUUCUUCAUUUUUCAGAGAUUCAUCGUCGUUGGUAUGUUAUUAUGACAUUCCCUCUUUGUUUUCGUAUUGCUAAUCUGAUACAUCUUUGAUUAUUUUUUUCGAUUUCGUCAACUAUCUUACACAUAUUCAGAUGAGAUUGAUUCAUAAGGACGACAAUGUUUUGAUGUUUUCUUCAUCUUCAUGUAAAUACGAUCUGUUUCAUGCUUCCAGAUUUGAAGAGAUCGAUUUGUUUGCUGUUUACUAAUGAUUUACGGUGUGUUUUCUCAUAUCUAGGGUUUGUUUGUGCCCUUUCGUAUCCACCUCCACCGAAACCCUAAUCGACCAGAGAAAUCGCCAAAAGUUCUUCACGAUAUGAUAUCGCAGUACUCGGUUAAGGAGAUUGUACAAAUCUUUGAAGUUCACCAAUAGGCGUGGAAACUAAACCACAAAAUCCAUUCCAUCAUCUACUGUUAGGAUCAUAAUUAUGGUUCUUUUAAUUUUCUAUUAUUUGAGUUAAUUGAUCGUAGUUUUCUUAAUCUUUAGGAUUUGAAAAUAAGACCGGCGAGUUUGAACGAAAUACCUUCGGAUUCGACUAUGAAAGGUGUGGGCUUUGAUGGUGGUAGGUGGUUGUUGCCUGGUUGAAGUGGAAGGGACCACUGACACAAUAUCGAUAUCAGGAAGAAUAUAUGCUUAUGGUGUUGUAAUUGGUUUGCAUUUUAUAUGAGUUCAGGAUCUAUUCAUCUACAACUGGUAAAACUUAUAAAACCGAACUGAACUCAACGCUGUCAUUGCUACUACUGCUUCUCCGAUGAAAUCAGUUCUGGUUAAUUCGUCGAUAUGCCAAUUUUUGUCAGACACUAGCAAGCCUGUAACUAUUGGCACAUGGCACUCCUGGGGCUGCAUAGGGUCAGUUUUUACGAAACAUGUGAUGUGUUGGUUUAUUUUGGUUAUUUACCGAUUUAUUCUGAAUGGAUGGGAAAAUGGUUAAAAGGUAUAUACUUGGUUUGAUGUUGAGGUUAUCAAGUUGUCCCAUAGUCUGGUAACGUGCGAUACAUUGGAGGUAUUAAGGUUGUUUUUGCAACUUCUAAUCCUCUGUUUCAAACAUUUUGAAUUUGUUUGGAAUAUUGAUCAAGUAAUGAUAAUAUUAUAAGAGUGUUUUGUAUAUGUUAGGAGAUGGAAUCCUCAUAAUUGAUUAUUGGCUGUUGUAAUUAUAGAGUUUUUGCUGAGGUUAAAUUAGAACAGAAGAUGAAGACAAAAAAGUAAGCUUUUACUAAAAAUUUCCAUGGCUGUUGUAAUUAUAGAGUUUUUGUUGAGGUUAAAUUAGAACAGAAGAUGAAGACAAAAAGGUAAGCUUUUACUAAAAAUUUUCAGAAAUCGGGUAUAGGCGUGUGGCUGAUCAUCUUUGUAAAAAGGAGAUGAUGCGGUAAGAAACUCAAUAUUUAAGCUUUUACCUCAUGUAACCAAGGUGAUCGGGUCGCACAAAUUAUGUAAAGGGUCAAUCCAAAUUCUGGUUAAAAUGGGUCGCGCAGAUUAUUGACACUUUGGGUGAAUUUCGAGCUAUUUGACAUGAUUAUUUUUUAAGAAAAUCAGUAAAUUUUUCAUCAUAAGAUUUUAUGAUUUUAGGGACCUUGGGUUUUAAAACAAAGUGCUAGAGCCACUCUGUUGGAUAAGUUGAUUAAAAACCAAUUAGUUUUGAUCUGUAAGCAGGGUCAUUAGAUCAUGUAGCUUUAAUAUUUCAACUUCAUCUUUUUAACUUUUUAUUCUAUAUAUUAUUCAAACUUCAUCACCUGAAAAGGAAUUGUUGUAGGUAUACAUUUACGCUUUUUGACUUUUUAAUCUAUAUAUUAUUCAAACUUCAAAGUCAUAUAUGGUGUGACAAAUUUUUAACAUGUUUUAUUUGCAGCUACACGUGUCAUCCCGGACCCCAAUCAAAGAAAAACUUCCGAUCAUCAAUGACAAUGUUGCUCUUAAACCUCACUGUGUUUCUCCUGAUGUUGGAUAUGUAUGCUUCCGAAAGAAGAAAAGCGAAAAUGCUCAACUUUUCCAUUGCGUACGGGAAAAUCCCCGUUGGUCUUGCACGUGAUUGGAAGGUUUCGGUAAACGAAGCAAAAGAAACAGUUAAAAGAUGGUAUAACGGCAGAGAAGAAGUGCUCAGAUGGCAAGAAGCCCGUAAAAAAGAAGCCCGGAGUAUUGGAUGUGUAUAUACACUGUUGGGCCGGGCCCGCACUUUCCCGUCCACAAAAAAACGCUACUCCGUCACAUAGAGGCCACAUUGAACGGGCCGCAAUUAAUACACCCGUUCAGGGUAGCACUGCUGAUGUGGCGAUGUGUGCCAUGCUGGAAACAUCCAAAAACGCUCGGUUGCGAGAGCUUGGGUGGAAGCUGCUCUUACAGGUCCAUGACGAAGUGAUACUGGAAGGGCCCACAGAGUCGGCGGAGGUGGCAAAAGCGAUAGUUGUUGACUGCAUGUCGAAGCCUUUUGAUGGCAAGAAUAUUCUCAAAGUCGGCCUAUCGGUUGAUGCGAAAUUUGCCCAAAACUGGUACUCUGCGAGGAAAUGGCACAUUUGACUUUUGGUGGCUGCUAAUUGGACUUUUGGAGAUAUUCUGAAGUUUUGAUGUCAAUGGUUGGUUUUGGUCCUGUAGAAUAGUUGAGUUUGCAAAGAUCCAUGUGUUGUAUAUAGUUAUUUUGGAUUCUGGAUGAUGAUAUUGUGUAACUUGAAGGGUGGUAACUGUAAAAAGGAUAUUCAAGGCGUUUUCUUUUUUUC